GGGUAACAGGGAAGCAGCUUUGCUUUCUUCCGCUGACGAGUGGCGGACGGGUGAGUAAUGUCUGGGAAACUGCCUGAUGGAGGGGGAUAACUACUGGAAACGGUAGCUAAUACCGCAUAACGUCGCAAGACCAAAGAGGGGGACCUUCGGGCCUCUUGCCAUCGGAUGUGCCCAGAUGGGAUUAGCUAGUAGGUGGGGUAACGGCUCACCUAGGCGACGAUCCCUAGCUGGUCUGAGAGGAUGACCAGCCACACUGGAACUGAGACACGGUCCAGACUCCUACGGGAGGCAGCAGUGGGGAAUAUUGCACAAUGGGCGCAAGCCUGAUGCAGCCAUGCCGCGUGUAUGAAGAAGGCCUUCGGGUUGUAAAGUACUUUCAGCGGGGAGGAAGGGAGUAAAGUUAAUACCUUUGCUCAUUGACGUUACCCGCAGAAGAAGCACCGGCUAACUCCGUGCCAGCAGCCGCGGUAAUACGGAGGGUGCAAGCGUUAAUCGGAAUUACUGGGCGUAAAGCGCACGCAGGCGGUUUGUUAAGUCAGAUGUGAAAUCCCCGGGCUCAACCUGGGAACUGCAUCUGAUACUGGCAAGCUUGAGUCUCGAAGAGGGGGGUAGAAUUCCAGGUGUAGCGGUGAAAUGCGUAGAGAUCUGGAGGAAUACCGGUGGCGAAGGCGGCCCCCCUGCACGAAGACUGACGCUCAGGUGCGAAAGCGUGCGGAGCAAACAGGAUUAGAUACCCUGGUAGUCCACGCCGUAAACGAUGUCGACUUGGAGGUUGUGCUCUUGAGGCGUGUCUUCCGGAGCUAACGCGUUAAGUUCGACCGCCUGGGGCAGUACGGCCGCCAGGGUUAAAACUCAAAUGAAUUUGACGGGGGCCCCGCACAAGCCGUUGGAGCCAGGUGGUUUCAAUUCGAUGCAACGCGAAAGAACCUUUAACCUGGGUCUUGGCAUCCAACGGAAAUUUUUCAGAAAA
rnacentral:rRNA from 1 species